rnacentral:rRNA from 1 species
GAUGAACGCUGGCGGCGUGCCUAACACAUGCAAGUCGAACGAAGCGCUUAAGACGGACCCUUCGGGGGAAGAUUUAAGUGACUGAGUGGCGGACGGGUGAGUAACGCGUGGGCAACCUGCCCUGUACAGGGGGAUAACAGUUGGAAACGGCUGCUAAUACCGCAUAAGCGCACAGUGGGACAUCCCACAGUGUGAAAAACUCCGGUGGUACAGGAUGGGCCCGCGUCUGAUUAGCUGGUUGGUGAGGUAACGGCCCACCAAGGCGACGAUCGGUAGCCGGACUGAGAGGUUGAACGGCCACAUUGGGACUGAGACACGGCCCAG